CUUUAUUUGAAUGUGGAAUUCUCCCUCCCUGGUUGGAGGGCAGGUUACCCUCUCCCACCGCGCCUUUAAAAAGUCCUGAGAUCGUAUCUCCUUGGAACUUACAAUUCCUAGUGCCUGUAUCCAGUUUUCAAAUGGCAAAGCAAGUGCUUCCGUGUGGAGGUUUGCACCACAGAUGUACAAGGAGAUGCUGAUUAACUCAGGAGAAAAGCAGCAACUAAUUCAGAUAUGCUUGGAGAGCAGCGGCUAGAAAACUUUUUGCUUUUGGACAGAAUUUAAAACUGCCUAUAUUUUACCCCAAGACAGGUGGGUAAGUCAGACUCAAAAAGGCCAAUACUACAGGUUUUCUCUCAUCUGUGAAAUAUGGAUUUAAAGUUGUGUGUGUGUGCAUGUGUGUGUGUGCAUGUGUAUGUGUGUGUAUUUGUGUAUGUGUGUAUAUAUAUGUAUAUGUGCAUGUGCAUGUGUGCAUGUGUAUGUAUGAAUGUGUGUGUGUGUGUGUGUGUUACAAGUCAGGAAAUGAGAAACAGAAUCAUGAAAGGAGAGAAAAGAUCUGAAGAGAGAGGAGGAGGAGGAAAAGGAGGGCGAUGGGAUUCAUGUGACAGGAGAGCAGAUAGGAGACUAUUACAGGGAGGUGGGGAGCCAGCAAGAAGGAGGAAGUGGGUUCUGGAGGCAGGGGAUGAGUAAGGAAAAUUACAUCGGUACAUGUGGUGAAAGCCAUGACAUCGUAUACUAACUUUCAAGUAACUGUGUAGAAAGUGCUAAGCCUUUUCAGUUUGGGAACCAGUUGUCCUGCUCUACCCAGUGUCUUCUCCAGGUCCCUACUGUAUACUUCCACUUUCUCUGGAGCAGCAAGGACAAAAAUCUUCCAGCACCUUUCAUUUCUUUUCUUUACAGAGGAGCUUGAGUCUCUCAAGUCUUGGAGUCUCUGUUCCAGACUCCAGCCCAUGAGUCCAAAGUUAUAUAGUUUAGACAGGAAUGUCUUUCUCUGUCCUGAGAGGGAAGCUUUUAUUCUGUUUCAUCUUCAAUAGAACAGAAUAUUUUGCUCUUUGCUUGCUUACUUUUUGGGACAAGGUCUUUUUGCUUUAGGCUUUGUAUUAAUCAGGAUUCUCUAGAUCGGUGGUUCUCAAUCUUCCUAAUGCUGCAGCCCUUUAAUUCAGUUCCUCACGUUGUAAUGAUCCCAACCAUAAAGUUAUUUUUGUCCCUACCUCAUACCUGUAAUUUUGCUACUGUUAUCAAUUACAAUGUAGAUAUCUGAUAGGCAGCCCCUGUGAAAGGGUUGUGGCUUAUAGAUCGAUAACCACUGCUGUAGAGUAACAGAACUUAUAGAAUGAAUCUCCCUCUAUAUAUGGAAGUGGGAUUUAUCAAAAUGACUCACAGGCUGCCGUCCAGCUAAUCAAACAAUGGCUGCCUAUGAACAGAAGAUCCAAGAAUCCAGUAGUCGUUCAGCCCAUGAGGCUGGGUCUCAGCUGGUCUUCAGUACCUGCCUGAGAGAGUAGACUGUAAUGGCAGGGAAGGAAUGGCCUUGCUGGCAAGGUAAGAGCAAGCAGACAAAGAACAAGAGCUUCCUUAUCCCAUGUCCUUACACAGGUUUCCGACAGAAGGUGUAACCCAGGUUAAAGGUGGGUUUUCCCAGCUCCAAAUGUAUGGAUUAAAUGUAUGUCUUCCUACUUCAAAGACCUGGAUUAGAGGUGGAUCUUCCCACUUCAAAUUAAGCAAAAAAAAAAAAAAUCUCUCACAGAUGUGGGCCACCAGUUGUGGAUUUCAGUUCAUUACAUGUAGUCAAGCUGACAAACAAGAGUGGUCAUCACAAGUUUGCUAUGUAACCCAGGCUAGCCUAAAACUUACAUUCCUUGUGUCUCUGUCCUUCUCAUUCGAAGUCUGGGACUGCAGGUAUAUAUUACCAUGAGUGCUCAACCAGAAAAGAUAUUCAAUUCAGUUAAGAAAAAUUAAAAAAAAAAAUUUUACCAGAUUGGGGAUGGUAGCUCACACCAUAAUUUCAACUACUCAGGGGACAGAGGCAGGAGAACCAAGUGUUCAAGGAUUCUCUGGUCUACAUCUAAAGUAAGUUCAUAGACAACCUGGGAAGUGUAGUCAAACCCUGUCUCAAAUUAAACUUUACUAUGGGCUGUCAAGAUGGCACAACAGACAAAGGAGCUAACCACCAAGCCUACUGAUCUAAAUUUAAUCCCCAGGACCCACAUGGUGGGAGGAGAAAAACAGCUCUCACAAAUUGUCCUCUGACUUCUAUACGUACACCAUGGAAGCCCUCCCCCAGUCACAAACACAUAGUAACAUGAAUUUUAUUUUUUUUUAAAGAUUUAUUCAUUUAUUAUAUAUCAGUACACUGUAGCUGUCUUCAGACACACCAGAAGAGGGCAUCAGAUCUCAUUACAGAUGGUUGUGAGCCACCAUGUGGUUGCUGGGAUUUGAACUCAGGACCUCUGGAAGAGCAGUCAGUACUCUUAACCACUGAGCCAUCUCUCCAGCCCAGUAACAUGAAUUUUAAAAGAAAGAAAGGACAAAGAAAGGAAGGCAAAAAAGGUGAGAGGGAGGAAAAAAUGAAGGGGAGAAAGAGAAAGGAGAGAAACUGAGAACCUGAGAGGCUUAGGUGGGAAGAUUAAGCAUACAAGGCCUGCUUGGGCUAUAUAAUGGUACUGCUUCAAAAAUAAAUAAUAAGAGAGAGGGGGUGGGGCAGGCUGGUUUUAUGUGUCAACUUGACACAAGCUGGAGUUAUCACAGAGAAUGUAGCCUCCCUUGAGGAAACACCUCCAUGAGACCCAGCUGUAAGGUAUUUUCUCAAGUAAUGAUCAAGGGGGAAGGACCCAGCCCAUUGUGGAGCCAUCCCUGGGCUGGCAGUCUUGGGUUCUAUAAGAAAGCAAACUGAGCAAGCCAGGGGAAGCAAGCCAAUAAGUAACAUCCCUCCAUGGCCUCUGCAUCAGCUCCUGCUUCCUGACCUGCUUGAGUUCCAGUUCUGACUUUAGUGAUGAACAGCAAUGUGGAAGUGUAAACUGAAUUAACCCCUUCCUCCCCAAAUUGCUUCUUGGUCAUGAUGUUUGUGCAGGACUAGAAACCCUGACUAAGACUAUGUAUUAAAUAUGUCUUUAACACAUAGGGAGCACAGAGCCUUUACAGAAAAGGAUCCAGUUCCAAAGAACACAUCAUUGUUGGCACCUAAACACUCAUUGUUUCAGCAGGGAGUUGCUGGGUGCCAGCCUACUGUGUGCCAAACACUUUUAAAUCCAUUAAAAUAAUAGGAUGAGUAUUAUUUAAAAUCAGGGCCAGCUCAUUAAUCCUUUCUACCUAACACAGAAUGAACUGUGCCGCACGUCUGUGCCUAUCUCUGAGCCGUGAUAUCAGCCGAGCUCAGUGAUAAGAAGGGAGGAGCCGAAGGGAGAAGGCCAGACCUUUCUGGUCCUAUCUGGCCACCCAUUAUCUCUGGAUCAAUACUACAUAGGGCUGGAUGCCAUGUUAAACAGUUUGCAGAAGAACUUAGUUUAAGUACUCUAAGCUGGUCUGGUUUGUUGUUAACCUUCCUUCUCUGUUAUUUUAAAUAAAUAUUUAUAUUUCAUCUAUGUUUUAAAUAAUAUUUUUAUUUAAGGAAAAAUGCUUAAUUGAGAGCUUUUGUACUUGUGGUGGAUCCCAAGGUUUUUCUGUUUGUUUUCUAUGUUCAAGGCUACUGAGCUUCUGGUGUGGCUCUUGCUUGGUUUUCUUUCAUGACCAAGGUAGGUGCCUUCACAUACAAUCUUGUUUUUCAUUCCUUCUCUGCCGGUCUUUCCCGGAAUUGUCGAUUUACAUCGCUAUACCUGCAGUGAUCCAGCACCGGAGGAUACUGUGGUAAAUUCUCUUACUCCAACAUCGUGUGAUCCCCUAACUCUACUGUUCACUGAGAAAUCUUCAAGUGCAGCCGCAGUAGAUCCUAGGAAGCAGUAUAGUGUCACAUCUCACAGACAGGGAAUGUUUUCAACAUAUGGGCAUUUAAAGGGCAAGGGUCAAAAAACAAAACAAAACAAAACAAAAGCCCAAAACAAAACAAAAAAACCCUUCUUUCUCAGCUCAUGGGGCUCUGUCAAGGUGGUCAUGGGGACCAGUCAGUAUUUCCGUGUUGAUCAGUCCAUCAAUGAUUGAUUGAUGGGUAGAUAACUCACUAUGCAGAUGAGGCUGGCCUCAGAUCACUGAGAUCCUCCUGUGUCUGCCUUCCAAGUGCUGGGAUUGAAGGUGUGUGCCACCAUGCGCAGUUCUUUCCCAAGUCUUGGGACACUUCUUUUCAAGUGGCUGGGUCCAUGUAAUAGAACCAAUCUCCCCUACAUACCGAGAUUGUGUGUGUGUGUGUGUGUGUGUGUGUGUGUGUGUGUGUGUGUGUGUGUUCUUGAAUUGCAUUCUGUGUUGUGUUACUGCAGGCAAACAC